rnacentral:lncRNA from 1 species
GUGGAAGAGGACAGAGUUAGUUUCCUGGGAUUUGGAAGGUGUGGUGAGCGCGAUGGCUUUUCACCCUAGCGCGGAUGAGACGCUGUCGAUACGGCAUGGAUUCAGGUGUGUUCCUGAGAAUGGAGUUAAAGUGGAGGAAGUUAGUCAGUGAACAGGUAGGAGCUGAAUUUAUACAUUCCGCUUCCAGAAUGAACAAAGCUGUGGUUGUGUUCAUGAAAAGAGCAAAUUUGGUUGGUAGGCUAAUUGCUAGUGGAAUAUUUGUAAGGGAUGUGUUGGUGCCAGUUUCACCUCUCUCUACCCCUUCGACAAGGGUGGUAGUUGCAAAUUUGCCUCCGUUUAUUACGGAUGAUCAAAUCAGGAAAGAGCUGAGUGGUUUUGGUAAGUUUGCUAGUGGGUUUCGUGUACUGUCGGCAGGUUUUCAGACAGAUGCCGUUAAGCACGUUGUUUCAUUCUGGAGGCAAGUGUUUAUGUUUCUGAACAACAAUGAGCAACAGCUAAAUGUGCAUUUUAAAGUGAGGCAUGGGGAGGGGCUCUAUGCAGGGUUUGCCAGCACAGAUAGUCUACGGUGUUUUGAGUGUGGGGAUUUGGGGCAUAAGAGCUUUGUGUGCCCACAUAAAGGGCAUAGACAAGGUGAGGGUACAAGCGCCCCCGGUGGGGGAAAUCGAGGUCAACGUGAAGGGGACAAUGAGACGCAGGUAGCAGAGGCUGGGCAUAGUCAUGCCAGUGAUGGUGGUGUAGAUGAGUCUGGGCCUAGUCAUGCCAUGGAUGGUGGUGUAGAUGAGGCUGGGUCUAGUCAUGCUAUGGAUGGCGGUGUAGAUGAGGCUGGGUCUAGUCAGGUUAUGGAUGGUGGUGUAGAUGAGGCUGGGUCUAGUCAUGCUACAGAUGGUGGUGUAGAUGAGGCUGGGUCUAGUCAUGCCAUGGAUGGUGGUGUAGAUGAGGCUGGGUCUAGUCAUGCUACAGAUGGUGGUGUAGAUGAGGCUGGGUCUAGUCAUGCUAGAGAUGGUGGUGUAGAUGAGGCUGGGUUUAGUCAUGUUAUAGAUGGUGGUGUAGAUGAGGCUGGGUCUAGUCAUGCCAUGGAUGGUGGUGUAGAUGAUGCUGGGUCUAGUCAUGCUAGAGAUGGUGGUAUAGAUGAGGCUGGGUCUAGUCAGGUUAUAGAUGGUGGUGUAGAUGAGGCUGGGUCUAGUCAUGCUAGAGAUGGUGGUGUAGAUGAGGCUGGGUUUAGUCAUGUUAUAGAUGGUGGUGUAGAUGAGGCUGGGUCUAGUCAGGUUAUGGAUGGUGGUGUAGAUGAGGCUGGGUCUAGUCAGGUUAUGGAUGGUGGUGUAGAUGAGGCUGGGUCUAGUCAGGCUAGAGAUGGUGGUGUAGAUGAGGCUGGGUCUAGUCAGGUUAUAGAUGGUGGUGUAGAUGAGGCUGGGUCUAGUCAUGCUAGAGAUGGUGGUGUAGAUGAGGCUGGGUUUAGUCAUGUUAUAGAUGGUGGUGUAGAUGAGGCUGGGUCUAGUCAGGUUAUAGAUGGUGGUGUAGAUGAUGCUGGGUCUAGUCAUGCCAUGGAUGGUAGUGUAGAUGACGCUGGGUCUAGUCAGGUUAUAGAUGGUGGUGUAGAUGAUGCUGGGUCUAGUCAUGCCAUGGAUGGUAGUGUAGAUGAGGCUGGGUCUAGUCAGGUUAUAGAUGGUGGUGUAGAUGAGGCUGGGUCUAGUCAGGUUAUGGAUGGUGGUGUAGAUGAGGCUGGGUCUAGUCAGGUUAUGGAUGGUAGUGUAGAUGAGGCUGGGUCUAGUCAGGUUAUGGAUGGUAGUGUAGAUGAGGCUGGGUCUAGUCAGGUUAUGGAUGGUGGUGUAGAUGAGACUGGGUCUAGUCAGGUUAUAGAUGGUGGUAUAGAUGAGGCUGGGUCUAGUCAGGUUAUAGAUGGUGGUGUAGAUGAUGCUGGGUCUAGUCAGGUUAUGGAUGGUGGUGUAGAUGAGGCUGGGUCUAGUCAGGUUAUGGAUGUAGUGUAGAUGAGGCUGGGUCUAGUCAGGUUAUAGAUGGUGGUGUAGAUGAUGCUGGGUCUAGUCAGGUUAUGCUAGUGGAUGAGGAGAGUAUAGUGGGGAAGUGUAAGAAACUAGGGGGGAGGAGGAGGGUGUCAAGAGAAAAAGGGUGUGGUCAAAGGCACCAUGGAACCUUUGCCUGGUGCUGGGGGAGGCCCUGACUAGAGAGGAAGGGCAGGUGGUCAGGAUUGGAGAUGGAGAUGAGGAGGAGGAAAGUGAGUCUGAGGAAGAGGAUGAUGAGGAGGCCUUUUCUUCAGACUCCUCUUCAAUGGGUCCGGAGCUGACAGCCAGUCAAGCAGAGGGGUCAAAGUAUACGGUGAGAGAACUGACAAGGUUCCUGAAUGAGACCAAGGUGGAAAAAGUUAAUCUUGAGGAUUUUUUUUCUGAUCCGAGAAAGUUUGUAAGAUCAGUACAACAUGCUAUGACAAAUGAGGGGCAUGGUGUCCUCUCACCCAGGAAACGGUUUAGGUUGAGGAAGUGGGUCACAACAGUGCGUAAGGGUCUACCUUCAGACACUGUUUAGAUGUAUAGCUUCUUUCUGGCAAUGUGGUUUUUUGAGCUUUGCUAUUGGUCUCUUUCUUUGCUGGCUUUUCUCCCACUUCUUAUGGAGACUCUUCGGGUAGGAUCGCUCAAUAUAAAUGGCGCCAGAGAUGCGGGAAAGAGGAGCGUGCUGGGUGAAUAUGUGAAACCAAAAAAAAGUACAGGUAUUGUUUCUGCAGGAGACGCAUAGUGAUAUGGUGAAUGAAGUCGAUUGGGGGCUCUGGUGGAAAGGGGCAAGUGUGUUGAGC